rnacentral:rRNA from 1 species
GACGAACGCUGGCGGCGUGCUUAACACAUGCAAGUCGAACGGACAGGCCCUGCUUUUGUUGGUUGCUCGAGUGGCGAACGGGUGAGUAACACGUGAGUAACCUGCCCUUGACUUUGGGAUAACUUCAGGAAACUGGGGCUAAUACCGGAUAUAAUCUCCUGCUGCAUGGUGGUGAUUGGAAAGUUCCGGCGGUUGGGGAUGGUCUCGCUGCUUAUCAGCUUGUUGGUGGGGUAGGGGCUGACCAAGGCUUUGACGGGUAGCCGGCCUGAGAGGGUUACCGGCGACAUUGGGACUGAGAGACGGCCCAGAAUCGUACGGGAGGCAGCAGGGGGGAAUAUGGCACAAUGGGCGGAAGCCUGAUGCAGCAACGCCGCGUGCGGGAUGACGGGCUUCGGGUUGUAAACCGCUUUCGCAUGUGACGAAGAGUGAGUGACGGUAAUGGGUAAAGAAGCACCGGCUAACUACGUG